UACGAAGGGGGCUAGCGUUGUUCGGAAUUACUGGGCGUAAAGGGCGCGUAGGCGGCCUGCUAAGUCGGACGUGAAAUCCCCGGGCUCAACCCGGGAACUGCGUCCGAUACUGGUUGGCUUGAAUUCGGGAGAGGGAUGCGGAAUUCCAGGUGUAGCGGUGAAAUGCGUAGAUAUCUGGAGGAACACCGGUGGCGAAGGCGGCAUCCUGGACCGGCAUUGACGCUGAGGCGCGAAAGCCAGGGGAGCAAACGGG
rnacentral:rRNA from 1 species